CUGCUUUUGCUGACUUGGGUGAUGGUGGGCUUAUUGCAUGGCUGUGUUCUGCUUAUUUUUCCACAGGUUGCAGUCCGAAGAGAGGGCAGACUGACUGAUAACCAUUCCUUUUCAGACAUCUGGAUGCAGGCUGGGAUGGCUGGCAUAUGGCUGGGGUGAGGUCUACCACACUGCAGGACCAAUUGAACCUAAACAGUCUGCUGGAUGCAGCCUGGUAUGAUUGUUAGCUCAUUGCAUGAGGAUCUGCUGCUCAUAGUUCUGCUGGAUGAAGGACGAGCCGAGAUUGUUCUCACUAUGUGACGAACAGGUAGAAAAUUGAUCACGGC
rnacentral:lncRNA from 1 species